rnacentral:tRNA from 1 species
UUCCGUCUGGCGGAAUAGGUAGACGCGGUGGGCUCAAAACUCAUUUCCUUUGGAGUAUCGGUUCAAUUCCGAUGACGGCUA